GGUCUUGUGGUCUAGUGGUAUGAUUCUCGCUUAGGGUUCACCCUGAGUAAUUGCUUGAUUUGCGAGAGGCCCCGCGUUCGAGUCGCGGCAAGACCC